GGGAGAAGGAAUGCGGGCAACCAAAGAGGAAGGAGCAGGCUGAGCCCUGCGGAGCCCCUAUGCCAGGAGUUGGGAUCCCCGGGGGGGGGGGGACAAGGAACAAGCACUCAGCAGCAGCUCCGCCCUCCAACCCCAAGAAACAAGGGACUGUUCCCUCCCUCACGUCCCACGUCGGGCAAUGUACGGCACCGGGGCUCAAGCAGUGCAGCACACACCCCUCGGGGACAGAUGCCUCGUCCUGGAAAUCUCCUGCUGAGAAGCCUUAUUCCUCACCUCGUGCUACGGGGAGGGCACCCCGAGACCCCUCUCUUUGCCACCACCCCAAAGGCUCCACCCUGGCAGGUUUGGCUCCAGGACCUCCCCCCCUUCCGGCGUCACGGCUGCGUUUGUUGCUCCAUCGGGACAGGGAGAGGACCUCGGGCAAACAGCUCUGGGAGUCCUGGAAAGCAGCAUCCACACCACCUUCCCCCCCCCAUCCACUGCGUUGAUGUUUGUCUGCGAGCCCCCGGGGCAGCACAGUCCGGACCGCCCUCCUGACCGCAGCCCCACAGCUACAACCCCCCCCCCCGGGGGCACCCGGCCCUGAGCAGCUGCGCACCCCCUCCCCCGGAUCCCUGCCCCGCUGCCCUGAUCUGUGCCGAUGUCAUCAUCAUCAUCAUUGCUCACCUCUGCUGAUGUCAUCAUCUCUUAUCUCUGCCGAUGUUAUCACCGCACUGGCGUGAGGCCCUGGAUGGCUUUCCCUGCUCUGAGAGAAGGGGGGGGGGGGGAGAUGUCUGCUCUCUGUCCGCCCUAGCAUCGUCCCUUCCGGCCCAGCAUUGCCCCCAGAGCACCGCUGGCAUCUGUUAGCGCUGGGGCUGCUUUGGGAACGUCCCACCCGAGUGCAGGAUGGGGUUUCUCCCCCCACACCGCCCAGCCUGGGGUACCAGCAGCCGGCGUCAGCCUGCAGGACCCUGUCGUGGGGACCCAGCAGAUGGCACUGCCGCCUCGCGCAGAGGAGAUGGGGACGCAGCUGCUGCCCGCGGUGACAUCUCUGGGGUCAAGGCCACCCGCUGGGGGCACGCCAGGCCCUGGCAGGCUGCGACAGGGGGAGUGCUUCCUCUUUCCCAAAGCGGGGUGUACCGUCCUGCACCGCUCCUCUUUGGGGACAGAGAGCAGCAGAGAGGGGGCUCAACCUCACUGCUGGGGAGGAGCAGCCCGGUGGUUUCAUGCAAGUUCCCUUUUUGGCUCAUUUGGGGCUAUUCUGCAUGGUUCCUUUUCAAACGUUGGGUGAAGGCUUCCCUGUGCAAGCACCCACCUGUGCACUCAGUAUCACCUGGAGAGCAUGGAGAGAUGGAGGUGUGCAUGGAGAGAGCUGGAAGCAGCAGUGGAAGCAGAGACCGCUGAGCACAAAGAGCAGAUGAGGGACCCAAUCUGUUUGAGGCGACGGCGAGGCCGGGACAAGAGUGAAUGAGCAUGAAGUGCUGCCAUUGUGCGUGGCACAAUGAGGACCAUAUGUCAGGGCCGGGGCUGGCAGCCGGGGACAGCAGAGGUCUGGGAGUCACGCAGGGGCUUGAGCUCCCCUAACCUCAUCCCCAGCUCCAUGCCGGUCGGGAGGGAUAGGGAUGGGGCCGUGUCCAGUGAGUGGAGCAGGCUGGGAGUGCUGGGGGCAUCUCCAGUCUCCAUCAGCUGCCAUCGCCCCCAGCUCCCCACCCCCCUUUCCCUGCCGCCUUCCCCUGCUCCCUCCCCAUCUUUAUUAUUUCCCCUUUGACGCAUCUCCGCUGAGCCGAGCGGCUGCCGAGGCCAAUUGAUUAUAUGAAGAAAUUUGGAGCAAGUCGGCGAACAGCUGCAACCUGCCCCCUGGGGGAUGCUCGGGAGCGGCGCAGACAAAGGAGCCGUGCAAACUUGCUUCCCCACAUCGCACGGGGUGGGCUGAGGGAGCAGGAGGGCACUGGGGGCUCAUGGGGACAGGACAGGGGACGUGGGGAAGGGACAGAGGGGCGCAGAGAAGUGAUGGUGGCUCUGAAGCUGAGGUUGUGCUGAUUGCUCAGGGAGAGUGAAGGUGGCUCGAUUGGGGAUGCUGGUGCCCGGAGCAGAUGUCCCCAUCUCUCUUCUGACACUGGGGGGAUGUUCAUCACAUUGCCACCGCCGCCUCCAGAACCCCACAGCUGCUGGGAGGAGGUGGUCACAAACAAGGUUAAAAGGAAAGGAGAAGGGAAGGAGGCACUCCGAGUUCAAGAUCUCUUUUGCUGGCAGUUUAAUUCAUUUCCCCCUCCCCGACUUCCUCGUGAACUCAUAAAUAAUAAAUCCUCACACAGUCCGAACAGCCAAGACGAAUGCAAGCUGGGGCACACAGGGGUGGGUUGGGCUGCUUUCCACCGUGGUUGUUUCUGUUUGUUUGUUUGCUUCCUAGGUUUCUUUUCCGAAAAGUGCACAACACAGCAAAUAAAUAAUAACAUUUAUCAAUAAAUUAA